rnacentral:rRNA from 1 species
CCCGUAAACGCGCGCACGCCGGUUACUUAAGUCUGAUGUCAAAGCCCAGCGGCUCAACCCUAGGAGGGUCACUAGAGAAACUGGGAGACUUGAGUGCAAAGAAGGAAAGUGGAUUUCCAUGUGUAGCGGUGAAAUGCGUAAAGAUAUGGAGGAACACCAGUGGCGAAGGCGACUUUCUGGUCUGUAACUGACACUGAGGCGCGAAAGCGUGGGGAGCAAACAGGAUUAAAUACCCGGGUAGUCCACGCCGUAAACAAUGAGUGCUAAGUGUUAGAGGGUUUCCGCCCUUUAGUGCUGAAGUUAACGCAUUAACCACUCCGCCUGGGGAGUACGGCCGCAAGGCUGAAACUCAAAGGAAUUGACGGGGGCCCGCACAACCGGGGAAGCAUGUGGUUUAAUUCAAACCACCGCGAAAAACCUUACCAGGCCUUGACUUCCUCUGACAACCCUAGAGAUAGGGCUUCUCCUUCGGGAGCAGAGUGACAGGUGGGGCAUGGUUGUCGCCACCUCGUGUCGUGAGAUGUUGGGUUAAGUCCCGCAACAAGCGCAACCCUUGAUCUUAGUUGCCAUCAUUUAGUUGGGCACUCUAAGGUGACUGCCGGUGACAAACCGAAGGAAGGUGGGAAUGACGUCAAAUCAUCUUGCCCCUUAUGACCUGGGCUACACACGUGCUACAAGGGACGGUACAAAGAGCUGCACCACCGCGAGGUGGAGCUAAUCUCAUAAAACCGUCUCUCAGUUCGAAUUGUAGGCUGCAACUCGCCUACAUGAAGCUGGAAUCGCUAGUAAUCGCGAAUCACCAUGCCGCGGUGAAUACGUUCCCGGGCCUUGUACACCCCGCCCGUCACACCACGAGA